GCCAACUGCUCAGGGUCAUGUAAGGGUUGUGCUCUCCGCUUAAAAGAGAGAGAGCACUAGAGGACAGUGCACACCAAUUAUCUCCUUCUGGAACUCAUCCAUCAGUCCAUUAUCUACAUCCUCUGCAGGGUCACAGGUCCUCCUGAACCAAAAAGGCCAAUACGUGCUGUUAUUCUAAUGGGUUUUUUCUUUUUUUGCUCUAAUGUACAGUAGCUUACAAACAGUAUGUGCAGACUUCUGUGUUGCUCUGACAUGUUGGUGUUAAGUCAGACUUUUCUGAUCAUUGUGGGGAAAAACGUCUUCUAAAUUAGACAUAUUCCAGUCCUUUAGGAGUUCUGAUGCUAAAGCUAUGGCUAAUAAAAAAUGACUGAAGUA